rnacentral:lncRNA from 1 species
CUCCUCUGCUGACGGUGAUAACCUGCCCACCUGACAGGGUCUGAGAGAGGCUCACAGGUGGGCACACAGCUCAUCUGGCUCAGUGCCUGGCACUUAGUAGGUGCCGUAAAAGCAAUGGCCAAGACUGUUUGUGUGACGGUGGCUACACGUCAAAUGUGUGGAUUCACAAACAGCACUUAAGGCAGGCCCUGCGCAUAGCAGGCGCUCGAGAAACCCACCCUUGGGGACGGACAGUACCCUUCCAAUCCUGCCUCCUCCCAAACUGUCUUCCAGUCAGAGAAAACUGGCCUCGGGGUCUAAAUCAGGACCGGGGGUGGGAUGGGAAUGAUUCAAGGUUUCCUGCCCAUCUGGCAGAGCACUUGACGAGGAGACCAGAAUUGGAGAUUAGAACCGUGGAACUGCUGUGUGACCUCUGGCAAGCACCUUGCUCUCUCUGAGCCUUGGUUUCCCUUUCUGUCCGCCAAGCCUGGGCCACUCUGCCCUGAGAGAUGCCAGCCCCAAAUGGGCCGAGGGGCAGCUCCUUUGUCCCCAUGGAUGCUGGCCCCCCUCCUGCCCCCCCCGAGCGGCCAGCCCGCCCGCCCGGCUCAGCUGUGACGGCGAACCAGCCAAUCUGUUUACUGAACUGGCUGACCCCUUCCGGGAACUUGGCCUGCGCUUCCCAGAACUCCCGUAUUAAUGACCCGGAGCCACAUGACAGAGCAUGACACAGCACUUUUGGGCACAAGGCCGGGCCCAGAGGGGCGCGAGGGGGCUCAGCCCGGCCCCCAGCCUGACCAGCGGCCCAGAGACGGCAGAGCAGUGACACGCAAAGCCCCAGCACUGCGGAGAUCGCAAACACAGAGUCGUCCAAAGGUGUGCUGCGUCCUUCUGGAUCCCACUGCUCCUGCCCCACCGCCCGCUCCCUCUCCCAGCAGCCCUGGGGUCCCCUCCAGCGUGGUGUCUGAGUGGAAUCGUCCAGUGGAUGCUUGCUUGGCCUUCUCUACCUCCACAUCAAAAAGCCCUCUUCACCGCCUUCCUUCAGACUGUGGAGGCCAGGACAGCUGACAGCUGAGAAUGGGGGUGGCUGUGUCCCUCGUGGCUUCACAGGGGUGCAGUCAGCAAGAUGAGGCAGAGCGGUGCCCACACACGUGAGUGAGAACCCGCCACCGCGUCCUGGGGGACAGGCCAGGUCCUGAGCCCCAUCCUACAGACGAAGCAACGGAGGCUCGGGGUGGGGUGUGCUGCCCAGGUCCACCACUGAGGAGAGGCAGAGCCAGGAUUUGUAAUUUAAUUGAGACGGGGUCUUGUUAAAUUGCCCAGGCUGGCCUUGAACUUGUGAUCCUCCUGUCUCAGCCUCCCAAGUAGCUGGGAUGGCAGAUGUGUGCUGCCAUGCUUGGCUCAGAAUGGGAUUUGAACCUGGGGCUGUGUGGUUUCUGCAUACUCACACAUCACUAGCUCUCGCCUAGUGCUGGGGGUCUUGAGCCCAGUUUGGGGGUCAAAGAGGAAUGUUCAAGGCAUGUCGGACCCCACCUCCAGCCUCAAUCUGGGGAAGAACUGGCCUGGGGUUGAACCCGACCCAGAGGCAUCUCCGGCUGGGACCCCUGCCCCCUUGCCCGCAGGGGUAAUUACCUGCCUGGUUAAUGGCACCCACUUCCUGCACCUUUCAUCAGGGCCUGCAGCUGCCAGGCAGUAAUUAACCCUCACAGCAACCCUCUGAAGUCCACACUCGAGGCAGACAUAUCAUUAAACCCACUUUAAGGGUAGGUAAACUGAGGCAGAGCCCAUUGUGGCCUGAGAGCCUGUUGUUCCCUGUGACUCAGCAGCUAACUAACCUCUGCUUUCUUCCCACAGGAAGCAGCAGCGGGCCAGUGCCCUUCACCUGAUCAGAGCUCAGGAGAGAUCCUGGAAGGCCCUGGGGCUUUGCUCCCCACCUCCUGCCUCCCAGAGGCACAGGGGCAUGAUUCCAAGCCAGUGGAAGGGAUGGAAUCCUGGGACAUGCCCUUGCCCUCUGCUGGGCCCGUUUCCUCCUUGGUAAAGUGAGGCUGCUAUGCCCACCUUAUAAUUUCUUAUAAUUUUGUCCUGAGCAUAACGCAUGGGACCUGCCUAUGAUCUGCCUCCUCGCCGUCUCCUUGCUUGGCCACACUGAGCUCCUCACUGUUCCCUGAACUCACCAAGCCCCUUCCUACCUCAGGGCCUUUGUAUGUGCAGCACCAUCUACCUGGAAUGUCCUGCCUUCCUAUCUCCCCAGGGCUGGUACCUUCUCAUCUUUUUGGGCUUAAACAUCACCCCCUCAGCGUAGAGAGCACCCCACCAUCCCUCACUCUGCUUUCUUCUUCCUAACAAAGGGAUGCAGGCUUCUCACUCUUUUUCUUCUUUGUGUUGUUCUUGACACCACAGGCAGACUUUAUCUGUCUGAUUGACAGUGCGCUCCCAGAGCUCAGCAGUGUCCAGUAAACAGUAGGUGCUUAAGAAACAACGGCUUCCCUCGCUUCAUUCUUUGCCAGCUCCAAGUCAGCUGGGAGUUGUUUUCCACCUCUCUGGUCCCCCAUUCCCCCUGGAGGACACAGCAGGCACUGGACAUGGGUUACUUGAAAGACUCAGGUAGUUUGAAAUCCGAAGACGUGAGGCUCAUGGUGUCCCUGGGCAGCGGGUAGGUGGGGACUCCAGAAGCCUUUGGUGCAGACGCCCUGUCCCUACCACCUGCCCUCCUUCGCCUCAGGUUUGUGGGCUCGCUCUGGGCAGAUCUCCAGAGCCAUCCCCACCCCCGCACACCUGUCAGCACCCUUGGGGGAAAGAAUCUGGAAAGGGGAGGAAGAAGAAGAAAAGAAAGCAGGGUGCAAAGGGACGGCCCCAACACCUGUGUAAAUAAUUUGUCAUCUUAAGACGCAUCAAGUACACUCACCUUUAGUGCCCGGUCCUUGGGCUUGUUUUCCUUGGCAAGGCCUCCACAGGAGUGGAAUUUCGGCCAAAGGGACCCAAUUGUCGUCUUCUAAGCAUGUUCCCGGGCCAGGGGCCGGGAAAGGCUCUGGCUGACUCUCCACUUCCGUCCGCAGAAGUACCGGAAGGUUCCUGGGAUUUAGGAGCAGCCUCCAGCUCUGGAAGCUGUCCCAGAAUUCUGGAAUGCUGGAAUUUAAACAGCCACCAUCCCAUUUUGCAGAGGAGGAGUAUGAGGCCCAGAGGGGAAGGGAUUGGCCUGUAGUCACAUGACGUGUGAGGCGAACUAGUUCGCUGGUGGAAGGGGACACUGUGGACCCCUUCAUUUCCUGCAGCCCUUGAGGUUUGGGGGAUGCCCAGGCCUCCUGUCUCCAGGGGCGCACAUGUUUUGCUGUAGUGAUUGGGUCAGGAGUGGUCAUGUGACUAAGUUUGCGCAAUGAGAUUCUACCGUGGGGCUUUGGUGCUGGGAUGUUUGAGGAGAUGCCGUUUCCCUUCAGGUUGACGGUGAGCAAGGGAAAACUGCUCAAGAAACCAGCUCAGAGCUGGACAGGGUCUGCAUGCCUGGAUCCAGCCAUACCUGAGAUCACACACUCUUGGCCUAUCUAGUUUCAUAAGCCACUACAUUUCCUGUUUUUGGCAGGAAAGAGUUUGGCCUGGGUUUUUAUCGCUUGCACACAGAAGUUUCUGACUGACCCAUGGCACAGGGGAAGGGGAGAGAUUGCAGGUAGAGGAAAUAGCCUGACAGGGAACACAAAGCAACCAUUUCCAGGGAGGUGUCCCGAAGCAGGGAGAAGAGGAAGAGCUUAGGAAUCUGGCAGGUGGCCGGGGUGGGAGAAAGCACAUGGAACCACAACGUGAAGGUUUGGAAGGGUGAUCGCACGCUGGAAGGCUGUGUCCCAGACUUGUGCAGGGUGACAGAGGACACUGGUGAAAACGGCACCGAGCCCACCGCUGCCCGACAACCACAGCUCAGUGAUGCGCCUCUGUCUAGAGCCGAGCCUGUCCUACCCCCGGCCCUGGCUGAGGCCUCACAGUGCCAUCCUGGACCCCUACAUAUGCUCCUUAUUCGGUCCUGGGCACCAUGAGUGCCACACAGAAUCACUUCAGGGUCCCCCGACACAGUGUAAGAUCGAUCCGGGUCCUGUAGCAGGAAUAAUUCCUGCGGCAAAUCUAUAGCCAUCGUAGUACUUGCUAAACUCUGCUGUGAAAAGAGCAGCCCCAGGCUUGGUCCCCUCGGUGUGCCUGGCUGAUUUCUAGCACCCUGUGCAGAUCUGCAGGAGCUCAGAGCCGGGCAAUCCACAGGCAAACCACAGAGCCACUUUCCCCAGACCCCUGCUCUCAGAGCCCCACCUUCAGAAUCCCCGUAUGGGUUUCAGGUGUUCAGUCUUUCUCUCUGGUCUGUUUUCUGUUACUAUAAAUUUGCUUUUCCAGAGCAGCAGCUGUGGGAAUCUCAGCGUGUUGAGCCUGGUUCCUCCUCCACAGGAUGGUUUUGAGGUGGGUACACACCACUGUGUGUGUCACUAGAUGGCUCUUUUUCAUCGCCACGUAGUACUCCAUUGUAUGGAUGGGCCACAGUGUGUGUAUCCAGACCCUCGCUGAGGGAUAUUUAGGCUGUUUCCAGUUGUUUUUUGCAAUUAUGAAUGAAG